ACUGACUAAGAGCUGAAAUCACUGAGUGUUGUGUUAAGUAGUGGGGGAGCCUGAAGAUAUAUUGUGGAGCAGUUUGUGGUACAGCUGGAGCAGCUUGUGGACUGGCUGGUGGAGCAGUUCAUGGGCCAGCAGGAGCUGUUUGUGGAACGCCGAGCGGAGCAGUUCGUGGACCGGCUGGUGGAGUAGUUCAUGGGACGGUGGGAGCUGCUUGUGGGACGCAGAGCAGUUUGUGGACUGGCUGGUGGAGCGGAGCGGAGCCCUAUGGAGCUGUGGGGCAGUCAGCUUCAGAUCAUCCCACAGCAUCUUUCUGAGAUACCUUUGAGAAAGACAUCCUGUCUUGAUUUGAAGAUUCCAAGUGACGGUGACCCUACCACAUCCUCGGGUGCUACAAAAGUUGAUGAUACUAAUGAUUAAUAAGGACAAUAAUGAUACUCCCUAUGGUUCUAGCUGAAGGUGCUUUCUGGGGACCCCACAGCCAAGCCUCUCUUCAUCAAUACUACUCUGCAGCACUACUUUCCUGCACAGGUGCAUGUUUGCUCCA